rnacentral:rRNA from 1 species
AAUCUCUCCCCCCCCUGAUUUUCAGAGGGUGGGUCAUCCCGCUCACCUAUUGACCAAUCAAAGUUAACCAUCAUGUAAAAGUCUGUAAAUCGUUUGUACGUGUAGCAUUGCCGAUCAGGCGCGAGCACGAGGCGGCCCAGGGCCCAGGGGAAUAACAAUCAGUGCGCUGACGUGGAUCCGAUCGGUCAUGGGACCCCAUCCGACGGCCCAGAUCCUUUUCCUCCUCUUUUAUCUCCCCCCUCCUCCCUCCCAACCCUCUCGCAGUCGCAGAUUCCCACCCUCGUCUCCUCCUCUCCACACACGCACGGACGCACUUCCAUGGCCGCCGCCUCCUCGUCGUCCCCCCCUCCCAGCCCCGCUUCAUCGUGCCUUUUACGGAGUUUGCGAGCGUGCAUGUGCUAGGGUGGAUCGUGCAAGAGCGGAGGCGUACGUACGUCUUGGUUUGUUGGUGAAGGGAGGAGCUAGGCUGUGGUGCGGGGUGGAGCUAGCUGGGGGAUAGCCUGCAAGAAGCCGAUGAGGCGAACGACUAGCUUGACGGAGGUCGCGCCGCCGUCGGUGCUGGCGGUGGUGUUGGAGGACGAGGACGAGGACGAGCUGGUCAAGGCGGUGGUGCAGGCCGAAGAAGGUGGCGCCGGCGGGGGCCAGGACUGGCUGGCGGCCCUAGGCGGCGGCAGCGAUGCCCCCGGGACGGACUGGCUAGCGGCGUACCGCGCGCGCGCGGCGCCGGCGCGGGCGGGGCUCCGGCGCAACUCGGCCGACUACUCCAAGGUCGAGACCGCCGCGUUCCUCCGCCACUGCGGCCUCUGCCGCCGCCUUCUCGGCCCCGGUCGCGACACCUUCAUGUACAAGUACGUGAGCUGUCCGCUCCUGCAUGCACGUGCAUCCAUGGCGAAGUUGUACCGCUAGCCAAUAUACCAAUCUGUUGCUUUGCUUCUGCUUCCGUUGCACGAUUUUUCAGGGGCGAGGCGGCGUUCUGCAGCCUGGAGUGCCGGCAGCAGCACAUAACCCACGAGGAGUGGAAGGACAAGCGCACGUCAAGGUCCAUGAGCGAGGCGGCGGCGCCGGCGACCAGCCGCGGCCGCUCCGGCAAGACCGACACCGGCGGCACGGUGGCGGCGGCCUGACCUGACAGCGCACGAGAGGCAGGCACGCUAUCAUCUUCCGAAGCUACCUGCCAAGGCCAGUAGCUCUCAGCGCUACGCAUGUAUUACUCGUACGUACGUACGCCUCGACUAUGAAUCGCUGGUAAUCGAUCUGUGCAGGCCGUCAACCACCGCUGGUCGAUCGAUCGACCAUCGCCUCAGUACAACUGCAUAGCUUUUUAUCAAUUGUAUGUACACUCGGAGCUCGAAUCCGUUUCUGAGAUCGUUCCUUCCUACGGUACUACUACACUACUGAUCGAUUAGUUAAUUGCAUCACCUCACGGAUCUUAUCUUGUUUGGCUUUGUGCAUCCUCGACGCUUCAUAUUGCAGUACUGCGUACUAGACCUAAUGCGUUAACAAAAUUGCAUUUUAAUGAACAGAGAAAAACAAUCUUAUCUUGCCUAGUGUAAUCAAGUCUUGGUGAUGUGUGCAGUCAAAAAAAAUAUGUGACCACUGUUGUUACGUGCUCGUGAGGCCGCCGCCAGGCUGAAAGUUAAGAGUCAUUGAACCAGUCGCGUGGUAACUAAUCAAUCCGUGAGCAGCGCUGCGGCAGUGUAUUAAAGCUUGUUGGCUCUCAUGAGUCAUGAUACGGAUAUGGCUGUGGGCUUUACUACUAAGCACUUGCUCACUAAUUGCAACGAUAAGACAAAAUUCAGACG